CCUUUGCCGGCGACCGGCGCACGGGUGAGUAACACGUAUGCAACCUGCCCUCUUCAGGGGGACAACCUUCCGAAAGGGAGGCUAAUCCCGCGUAUAUCGGUUUCGGGCAUCCGAGAUCGAGGAAAGAUUCAUCGGAAGAGGAUGGGCAUGCGGCGCAUUAGCUAGACGGCGGGGUAACGGCCCACCGUGGCGACGAUGCGUAGGGGUUCUGAGAGGAAGGUCCCCCACACUGGUACUGAGACACGGACCAAACUCCUACGGAAGGCAGCAG
rnacentral:rRNA from 1 species